rnacentral:rRNA from 1 species
CCUACGGGGGCAGCAGUGGGGAAUUUUGGACAAUGGGCGCAAGCCUGAUCCAGCAAUGCCGCGUGAGUGAAGAAGGCCUUCGGGUUGUAAAGCUCUUUUGUCAGGGAAGAAACGGUGGGAGCUAAUAUCUCCUACUAAUGACGGUACCUGAAGAAUAAGCACCGGCUAACUACGUGCCAGCAGCCGCGGUAAUACGUAGGGUGCAAGCGUUAAUCGGAAUUACUGGGCGUAAAGCGUGCGCAGGCGGUUUUGUAAGUCUGUCGUGAAAGCCCCGGGCUCAACCUGGGAAUUGCGAUGGAGACUGCAAGGCUUGAAUCUGGCAGAGGGGGGUAGAAUUCCACGUGUAGCAGUGAAAUGCGUAGAGAUGUGGAGGAACACCGAUGGCGAAGGCAGCCCCCUGGGUCAAGAUUGACGCUCAUGCACGAAAGCGUGGGGAGCAAACAGGAUUAGAUACCCUGGUAGUCCACGCCCUAAACGAUGUCUACUAGUUGUCGGGUUUUAAUUAACUUGGUAACGCAGCUAACGCGUGAAGUAGACCGCCUGGGGAGUACGGUCGCAAAGAUUAAAACUUCAAAAUGAAGUUAGUAGCGNGNGAGNGCGACGACGACGACGAGGAGGAGG